AUGGCUCGCACUAUGUUUGAUGAAAAUGAAAUGCUCCAUCGUUUUUGGAUUGAUGCAAUUGAUACUGCGUGUCACAUCAUCAACAGAGUAUAUCUUCACAAAUUCUUCAAGAAGACUGCCUAUGAACUCCUCACUGACAAGAAACCCAAUCUGAGUUAUUUCAAAGUCUUCGGUGCUAAAUGUUGGAUUAGAGAUCCUCAUCACAAUGCUAAAUUUGCACCAAAAGCACAUGAAUGUUUUAUGCUUGGUUAUGGAAAGGACUCGCACACCUAUAGAGUCUUCAACAUCGCUCUUCACAAGAUUGUUGAAACUGUAGAUGUGCGGUUCAAUGAAACUAAUGGCUCGCAAAGAGAGCACCUACCUUCUGUGAUAGAUGAACCAGCACCUGAGGAUUCUAUCAAGUUCAAUGCUACUGAGGAUGUCAUUCCUACUGAAGAAUCUACUGAAGAAUUCAUUCUAGAACGCGAAGAUCGUCAAGCUAAUGCACCUGAGGAAAAUGCUGAAGAAAAUGGUGCUGAAGAAAAUGCUGAUCAAAUUCCUCGAUGA
rnacentral:rRNA from 1 species